rnacentral:rRNA from 1 species
CCCUGAAUUACCUUUUAUUGGUGGUUCCGCGGGACUUCGCGCCCGCCGGGGACCCAAACCUUCUGAAUUUUUUAAUAAGUAUCUUCUGAGUGUUAAAAAAAUGAAUCAAAACUUUCAACAACGGAUCUCUUGUUCUGGCAUCGAUGAAGAACGCAGCGAAAUGCGAUAAGUAAUGUGAAUUGCAGAAUUCAGUGAAUCAUCGAAUCUUUGAACGCACAUUGCGCCCGUCAGUAUUCUGGCGGGCAUGCCUGUUCGAGCGUCAUUACGCCCCUCAAGUCCCCUGUGGACUUGGUGUUGGGGAUCGGCGAGGCUGGUUUUCCAGCACAGCCGUCCCUUAAAUUAAUUGGCGGUCUCGCCGUGGCCCUCCUCUGCGCAGUAGUAAAACACUCGCAACAGGAGCCCGGCGCGGUCCACUGCCGUAAAACCCCCCAACUUUUUAUAGUUGACCUCGAAUCAGGUAGGACUACCCGCUGAACUUAAGCAUAUCAAUAAGCGGAGGAAAAGA